GUGGGCGUGGUGAAAUGGCAGACACGCUAGAUUUAGGUUCUAGUGACGAAUAGUCGUGGGGGUUCAAGUCCCUCCGCCCAUACCA
rnacentral:tRNA from 1 species